GUGCUCGCUUCAGCAGCAUAUAUACUAAAAUUGGAAUAAUACAGAGAAGAUUAGCAUGGCCCUGAAAAAAAAAAAAAGAAUGAACUAUUGAUACACACAACAACCUG